UUGUGUUUUAGCUCAGUUGGUAGAGCAAUCGCCUGCUAAGCGAUAGGUCACCGGUUCAAGUCCGGUAAUCCAAA
rnacentral:tRNA from 1 species